UACGUAGGUGACAAGCGUUGUCCGGAUUUACUGGGCGUAAAGAGCGCGCAGGCGGUCGUUCAAGUCGAGUGUGAAAGCCCCCGGCUCAACUGGGGAGGGUCAUUCGAUACUGAUCGACUCGAAGGCAGGAGAGGGUAGUGGAAUUCCCGGUGUAGUGGUGAAAUGCGUAGAUAUCGGGAGAAACACCAGUGGCGAAGGCGACUACCUGGCCUGUUCUUGACGCUGAGGCGCGAAAGCUAGGGGAGCAAACGGG
rnacentral:rRNA from 1 species